rnacentral:rRNA from 1 species
UACGUAGGGGGCAAGCGUUGUCCGGAUUUAUUGGGCGUAAAGAGCGUGUAGGCGGUUUGGUAGGUCCGUUGUGAAAACUCGAGGCUCAACCUCGAGACGCCGGUGGAAACCAUCAGGCUAGAGUCCGGAAGAGGAGAGUGGAAUUCCUGGUGUAGCGGUGGAAUGCGCAGAUAUCAGGAAGAACACCCGUGGCUAAGGCGGCUCUCUAGUACGGUACUGACGCUGAGACGCGAAAGCGUGGGGAGCGAACAGG